rnacentral:rRNA from 1 species
CAAUAGCGUAUAUUAAAGUUGUUGCAGUUAAAAAGCUCGUAGUUGGAUUUGUGGUUCGUCCCGCCGGCUGGGUCAUUGACUUUUGCUGUGCUGGUCGUCCAUCCUUGGGUGGAAUCUGUGGCAUUAGGUUGUCGCGCAGGGGAUGCCCAUCGUUUACUGUGAAAAAAUUAGAGUGUUCAAAGCAGGCUUAUGCCGUUGAAUAUAUUAGCAUGGAAUAAUGAUAUAGGACCUUGGUACUAUUUUGUUGGUUUGCGCACUGAGGUAAUGAUUAAUAGGGACAGUUGGGGGUAUUCGUAUUCCAUUGUAAGAGGUGAAAUUCUUGGAUUUUUGGAAGACGAACUUCUGCGAAAGCAUUUGCCAAGGAUGUUUUCAUUAA